GUUCGCUAUCAUUACCCGAUAUAUCGGGCAUCGAUUUUUAUGUCCCAAAGUAAUUUCCUCAAAAUUUUGCCGAAAAUCAACAGAGCAAGGCCAAAGCCAUUGACAUCUUUUCAAGCACAUCCCCAUCAUCAUCAUCAUCAUUGGGUGGUUGAAAAGCGAAAACAUUUCCACAACAGAAACUUGGGAAUAAGUGAGAACUGGGCAAACUAGUGAUAGAAAAAAUAGUUUGCCAAAAGAGAGAGAGCUUCGAUUUUGCAGUACAAACGUGUGGGUGGGCAGAGCAAUGGCUGCUGAGGUGUUUUAUCGAUUGGCACUAACCACAAAUACAUUUUACCAGAAGAAUAAAGUACAAGGAUGGAACCUUUACGCUUGACAGCCAUGAAGAAAUGAAUGUGCCCAGUGGAACCAGCCGCAGGAGGAGGAGCAGCGAGGCUUAGCCCCACUUUGUGUCACAUUAUGGAGACAUCAAGCACACAGACGGGACUCGUACGUAUACGAAAUAGCAACAGCGAUUAAAGUGAAAAAAUACUGCCCUUAGGGGACCCACUGGGAGUGGCAAAGGCACACAGAAAUUUCGAACUUGAAUCCAAAAAAAUAUCGCGAUAUUAGUAACUACAAAACAACAGACAAAAACACGUAGAAGAGGAGCUUGAAACGUCGGGAGAAGUGGGAGUAGAAAAUUAGAAUAUAAGUACAAAUCAUAAUUUUAAGGCAGAAAUCUCUAGAGAUGAGCUUUCAGCACCGCCACUGGCUACUGUCUGGCCACGUUUUGAGGCUCCUCCCCCUUGGGCUCCCUUUUUUCGGCAGGUAUAAUCCCUCAAAGCGAAAACACACAACUCAAGCAUUUUGGACGCUUCUUUUGAAACUUCACUUUGGCUUUAUAUGUAUGGCAGGCGCUGUAUGUUUUAUGCUGUAUGUAUCGACGUGUGUGUGUGUGUGUGUGUGUGUGUGUGCAAGACGAGCCAACAUUUUAUGCGCUUCGUCGCUUUUCGUCUACUCCAAAAUGAUUUGCCUUUAGCCAGGAGACCCCAGACCCCGGCCCAUCCACUUUGCCUCAAGUUCAAUUUAUUUUGCGCAUAAAAAAUAUAAGCAUUUCUUUGCCAGGCUUUUCCUUCCACUUGUGUCCAUGCCAUGGGUUCUCUGUGGCUGUGUGUGUCUGGAAAUUCAGGAAAUUUGCCUAUUCAACUAAAGCAAAAGAUAGAGAUGAGCGGCAGACAGAUGAGAUUUGACGUUUAUAAGGCUGCUUACUCCUGGAAUUUAUGGGGACGGGGUUCUAAAUUUAUAAAUUUAUUUGAGCUCAGAAAUAAAG
rnacentral:lncRNA from 1 species